GGUAAAGUUCGGCCAUCUUGGUCUCUCUCAGUGUGAAGUCUCCUCCAGUGAAAUUGUUUUUACUGCUGUAAACUGAGCGGUCAGCCCCCAAGGAGUUUGAAGUAAAAACAAAAUGUCAGAAACUGCUCUGAAGUUUGGCCCUGAGUGGCUGCGAGUACUCUCUGAUGGUGGUUGUGCGUCUUCUCCUCCUCCCAGCCCUGGUCUUAAUAAGUUUAAGCCAGCAGAGCAUCGAUAUGGUCGCGAAGAGAUACUGGCAUUUUUCAGCAAGCAUCAAAGCCCGCCGGAUGGGAUACACACAUUUGGCCAUCCAUAUGUGGAAAAGGCUCAGGAGCCACUGGCUUUAAUACCUAUGAAUGAAGAAGAACAGGUAUGACAAGAAAGUUGGUAACCUAGUACUUUAGCAGAGGUGUUCUAGAAGUGUAAGAAAGCUUCUUAUUGUGCCGUCAUCAGACUGUUUCUCUAAUUGGCAUUGGAAUUUUGCAUGCAGUUGAUCAGUUGACUUUAGUUACUAGUUGAAGUGAUACCACAAAGGAAGGGAAGAGAAGGGAAGGAGCUUCCCUUUCUUCACUGACAUAACACCACUCCUCUUUUUCUCAUUCUCUUGUUUGUGCAUUUUUUUUACUUUCCUGUUUUUAAUACUUGCACAUACAGUAUAUUUUUGUUGUCUUUGCAGGCAGAAUCAGUUGUACUCCUUAUAUUUUAGCUUUAAAUUAGUUUUCUUUUUGUUUCCUAGCUUGUACAGUAUUCCUUUUAUUCAAUUAUCUUUUUAACCCACUAGCUUCCAUAUUAUUAACAUUUAAUGUGAUGAGGCAGAUUGUAAUUGAACUUGCAUUGUCCCUUUGCUUAAUACUAAAAUACCAUGCAGUAAUCUAAUACUAAUCUGCUAUGCAAUAAUUUUCAGUUUUUCUGAUAUCUGUUUAUUUACGUACCGUGUAUAUAGCACUCGAUUUUAGCUUGACUUUGUAGGCAGGUCAGCUUCGUCUAAAAAUAAAAAAAAAAUUCUCGUGUAUUUUAAUUUAUUCAUCUGAUAGACAGCAAUCGCUUGAGAAUGUACUGCUGUCCUGUCCUGAGUACACUAUGAAAGCCUUUUACAAAUUUUGCACUCCUAACAGGCUUGUUGGUCUUGUGAAGAUGUGAGAUAGCAGGAAAAUGCUGUGAAUUUGUAUUUACAUUCAGUAUUAUGCACCCUGUAGUACUUUAUGGGUUAUUCCUAAUUCUGUAAUUCUUGUUCCUGCAUUUCCUUUCUAACUGAAGAGGCUUGAUCCAAAACUAAGCUAUGGCAGCAAUGAUCCCAAGAACCAUUAACAGAUAACCUAACUAUUUACACUUGUGUACUUGCCUAAUUGUGGUUGCAGGAGUUGAGUGUCAGCUCCUGGCUGUGCCUUUCUGCUGGCCAUUACUUGUUUCACUCCUGGCUGCAUGAGUCCAUACCUCUUCUUUAAGCUAUGUAUGGAUCUGCCUCUACCACUUUGUUGUCUUGGUUGUUCCACUUCCUGACCACUCUAAGGCUAAAGUAGGAUUUCCUAAUAGCCUUGUGGCUCAUCUGUACUUUUAACUUCCAGUUGUUUGACCUCAUGUACCUGAGACCUUCCUCUCAGACUCUGCCUGUCUACCCUGUCAGUUCUUCUUAUUUUGUACAUCAUACUCAUGUCACCUCUGGUCCUUCUGUCCUUUAAUGUCAUCAGGUUUAACUGCUCUAUUCUUUCCUUGUAGGUCAUACCUCUCAUCUCUGGGUCUAGUUUCACUGCAAACCUUAGCACUUUUUCCAAGCUUCUUUACAUGCUUUACCAGAUGUGGUACAGAGGAAAGAUAGUCUUAGCCAAGUGAUCACUGAAAUAGAGCAAAAACUUAGGAUGUCAUACCUAACAGAAGUACAAAGGGAACACAGGGCCAUACAGGAUACUGCAAGAAACCCAAAAUAUUUCUAUUCCUAUGCAAAAUCCAAGCUAAGAACUACCUGUAGAAUUGGACCAUUAUUGAGAAGAGAUUCGUAUACUGACGAUGAACAAGAAACGAGUGAAAUUCUAAAAGAAUAGUAUGAGUCAGUGUUCAGCAACCCACUAAAUGACAGCAAGGUAGAAAAUGCAUAAAUAUUUUUCACUCUAGCAGAAGGCCGCACAGACAAACUAACUGACAUUAGUACAAAUCCCAUAAUUUCAAAAAAGAAAUGGAUAACAUGCCCACUCAGCACCUGGACCAGAUUCACGGAAUGCCCUAUUCAUAAACAAGUGCAAAGUACUACUAGUACGAGCCCUCAGUAUUCUUUGGAGAAUGAGCUGAGAUCUAGGUGAAAUACCGGAGGCCUUAAAGAGUGCAGACAUAGCUCCUUUGCAUAAGGGCGGUAGUAAAGCACCUGCUAAAAAUUACAGACCAGUAGCCCUAACUUCUCACAUCAUAAAAAUCUUUGAAAGAGUGAUGAGACUGUAAAUUACAAAUUUCAUGGACCUGCACAACCAGCAAAACCUAAACCAGCAUGGUUUUAGAGAAGGACGAUCAUGCCUGUCACAGCCGUUGAACCAUUAUGACAGAAUUACGGAGGCAUUGGAAGAUGACCAAAACGCAGAUGUGAUUUACACAGGUUUUGCAAAGUCACUUGACAAAGAGAGUGGUGAGAGAGUGCAAAAGGAGAGCAGAUGAUAGAGUGGGAGAGGCACUGUCAAGAAAUUUUAAUGAAAAUAAGAAAAAAUUUGGAGUGAGUUAAACAAGUUAAGAAAG